rnacentral:rRNA from 1 species
AGAGUUUGAUCAUGGCCCAGGGUGAACGCUGGCGGCGUGCCUAAUACAUGCAAGUCGAGCGAACGGACGAGAAGCUUGCUUCUCUGAUGUUAGCGGCGGACGGGUGAGUAACACGUGGAUAACCUACCUAUAAGACUGGGAUAACUUCGGGAAACCGGAGCUAAUACCGGAUAAUAUUUUGAACCGCAUGGUUCAAAAGUGAAAGACGGUCUUGCUGUCACUUAUAGAUGGAUCCGCGCUGCAUUAGCUAGUGGGUAAGGUAACGGCUUACCAAGGCAACGAUGCAUAGCCGACCUGAGAGGGUGAUCGGCCACACUGGAACUGAGACACGGUCCAGACUCCUACGGGAGGCAGCAGUAGGGAAUCUUCCGCAAUGGGCGAAAGCCUGACGGAGCAACGCCGCGUGAGUGAUGAAGGUCUUCGGAUCGUAAAACUCUGUUAUUAGGGAAGAACAUAUGUGUAAGUAACUGUGCACAUCUUGACGGUACCUAAUCAGAAAGCCACGGCUAACUACGUGCCAGCAGCCGCGGUAAUACGUAGGUGGCAAGCGUUAUCCGGAAUUAUUGGGCGUAAAGCGCGCGUAGGCGGUUUUUUAAGUCUGAUGUGAAAGCCCACGGCUCAACCGUGGAGGGUCAUUGGAAACUGGAAAACUUGAGUGCAGAAGAGGAAAGUGGAAUUCCAUGUGUAGCGGUGAAAUGCGCAGAGAUAUGGAGGAACACCAGUGGCGAAGGCGACUUUCUGGUCUGUAACUGACGCUGAUGUGCGAAAGCGUGGGGAUCAAACAGGAUUAGAUACCCUGGUAGUCC